UACGUAGGGGGCAAGCGUUGUCCGGAAUCAUUGGGCGUAAAGCGCGUGUAGGCGGCUCGAUAAGUCUGCUGUGAAAGUCCAGGGCUCAACCCUGGGAUGCCGGUGGAUACUGUCGAGCUCGAGUCCGGAAGAGGAGUGUGGAAUUCCUGGUGUAGCGGUGAAAUGCGUAGAUAUCGGGAGGAACACCAGUGGCGAAGGCGGCGACCUGGGCCAAUAUUGACGCUGAGGUGCGAAAGCGUGGGGAGCAAACAGG
rnacentral:rRNA from 1 species